rnacentral:lncRNA from 1 species
CCGGAGCCGCCGCCGGGCCGCUGAGCCCCCCCGCCGCUCCCCGCGCCCGGGCCGGGCAGGGGGGGCCGCCCCGCGCCGAGACGGAGCGCAUCAUCCCGAGCAGUGCUGGAGGACCUCCCCCCGUUGGCCGCGGGGGUUAUGGGGAAGCGCUGCCCUUCCAUCCCACGUUGGUUGGUUGGCUUUGCUGUUGGUUGGCUUUGCUGUUGGUUGGCUUUGCUGUUGGUGACGGUGCGGCUUUUGAUGCUGCACGAAGAGCCCCCAACGAUGGCCUUCAUUGCUUCGAGCUCCGACUUCAUCCCCGGACCUCAUCGGCGCUGUGCGUCCUCCAUCCACGGCCCUGCGGGUGAAGUUAUGGCAACGGAUGCCCCAGGAGGGGGGGCUGCCCCCGUGUUGGGGCGCAGUGUGGGGUCCUGAGCUGCUGCCCACCCCCCCCUAUUUGGCUUUGGGUUCGCACCCCGUGGAGUUUUCCUCCCUCCACCCCACGGAGCUCCGUCGGCCGCCCCGUUUCUGCUGCAGCGCCGGUUCAAAGUAAGGGAAGGAGAGCUGUUUGGUGAUGGAUAAAACACAACGGGCUGCUGCCUUUCCUCCUGGCUUUGGGGCUGCCCAGCCCCGUGGGACCGUAGAGAUGGACCUCGGUGCCGUUCCAACGUCGCGGCCCUUCUUCUCUAUGGCUCCGCUCGCUCCGAUUCGUGGCGAAGGCGGAAAAAAAGCUCUCAUGGUGGAAAACGGAGCGAAUGGAAACAAUGCUUCGGGAAGAGAAACUGCAGGGAUUGCGUCGUACCGCCCUCACCCCGCGUGUGAAGGCAGUGGGUCCAUCCUUGGGGGGGGUCAGGGGGCUGCGAGCUGCGGGGAUGGCUGCGCAGGGCCGGGAUGGGGGGGCACACGCUGACCCUGCUGUCCUCAGGAGCCCCCCCAUGUGUGCUCAGCACAGAGGACGUCUGGAUGGCUGCGUGCUCAGCCCCGGGCUUUGGUUAAACUGGGCUGCUGGGGGGGGGUUUGGUUUCCCUGAGUGCGGCCCCUGGGGGGGGCAGCCCUUCUUUUAGUGCUGAGCGCUGCUCCAGUUUCGGCGCGGCGGCGCUGAGGUCUCUGCUUGGUGGCACCGAAUGCUGCGUGUGUGGAGGGGCCGGGGGUUAGAAAUGAGGGGAGGGGGUCUCGGCCCCAUUGCCCACAGCUCAGAGGAGCUCGGGGCUGCGUGCCCACUGCUGCCAGGCUGGGCUGUGCUCCAGAGAGGGGACUUUCCCUGCACAGCUGAUGGCACUGCAUGCAGGCGAUGUCUGAGUGUAAUGCAGCAGAGCGAAGCAAUGGGAAUGGACCAAUAAGAGCCACUUGGAUGCAGAAUGUGUGCGCUGUCCCAGCAGGGUGGGUUUCCCUCUCGCUUUGGUGUGGUGCCCGCAGACCUUUGGGCACAAUGCUGGUGUUGGCAUUCGCUCCUAUUGCCCCACACCCAACCCUUCCCAUCAGCAGAAUGGCACCAGACGUCCCCACUCUGUGCUGCCAGUGCUCCGUCUCCGUCUGUCCCUGGGGUGGGUGAUGGCUCUGUGCCCACACUGUGCCCCCCCACGGCUGAGUUUGUGUUCCCCCGGGGCUGAUGGUGAUGUGGGGCUGUGCUGUGGGAGCUCAGGGUGAGCAGAGCUCUGCCCCAGACGUGUUUUAUUUGGGGGGGGGGAGGGGGAGAGAUGGCUGAGUACCUCCUGAGGGCAAACUCUGACUCUGCUCUGCUCUCUCUUUCAGCAACGCACCUUAAGGAUGGAUAUAGAAGACUGUAAUGGACGGUCCUACAUAUCUGGUACGUCCCAUCUUGAUUGCCACCUGCUGUUUUGGGUGGCUGGCUUCGUAAGGUGCUCACCAGACUUCAGCAUCUGGCCCUGUUCAUUAAGGAGCUGGGGAGAAUGAACGCUGCAGGCCUGACAAACAGCUCAUUAAUGAGCUGUGCCAAGCCAAGCCCUGGAGGUUUGGGCUGAAGUUUGAGUGCUCGGGGCUGUUGGAUGGGGUGGAAGGGGUCAGGGCGCAGCCCAGGGCUGCUGUGCUGUUAGGGGGGGAUCAUUGCCUCAGGGCUGUGGGUGCUGUGCUGACCCUGCAGAGCGCUCCCUGCUGCUGGCUGUGGGGUUUGGGUGCACGGAGCUGAGCUACCCUGAAGUUGGGCUGCUGCUCUGCUUGGCUUCUCCUUCAGCCUGGAGCCUGGCUGGAGGAAAAGGCCAUUGGGGCACAGCUGUGUCCCUCUCAGGGCAGCGGGGAUGGGGAUGCUGCCAGGCUGAGCCCAUCCAGCAGCAGUGCUGGCAUUGGCUGAAGCCAGGAGCUCCCCGGGGAGCCACACCGUCUGCCAGUGCCAUGGGCACCUCCGUUUGUUUUUGGAGCAAAGGAAAUGUGACCCAGUAUUCCCUGCAGCACGCUUGGCAAGCUGUCAGCC